rnacentral:rRNA from 1 species
UACAGAGGUCUCAAGCGUUGUCCGGAAUUACUGGGCGUAAAGAGCUCGUAGGUGGUUUUGUCGCGUUGUCCGUGAAAACUCACAACUCAAUUGUGGGCGUGCGGGCGAUACGGGCAGACUGGAGUACUGCAGGGGGAGACUGGAAUUCCUGGUGUAGCGGUGGAAUGCGCAGAUAUCAGGAGGAACACCGGUGGCGAAGGCGGGUCUCUGGGCAGUAACUGACGGCUGAGGAGCGAAAGCGUGGGGAGCGAACAGG